rnacentral:lncRNA from 1 species
GAAAAUUUAUGUUUGCUGCCACCUACAUCUAAAGUUUUUUCCCGGAAAAUCCUAAUUAUGAUCGGUGGCGCUUACUAAAAUUCUACAGCAGAGAUUUUAAAUUGCGAAAUAAGCACAUCCCAAUUAUCUUUCUAUGAAAGCCAGUUGAUGGAUCGACUGACCCAACCCUGUUCCGGUCAUUUACAUCAAAACGUUAUGCUAUAUUACUAAACUACGGGGAAGCUGCCAAACCCAGCAGGGGAAUGGAUCUAAACCCAAGACCCAUAUUGGAAGACGGAAAACUUGAUUG